UAAUGUUUAAUAGUGAUUCGUGAAUCAAGGAUUUAAGUGGAAUACGAGAAGUUUUUUUUCCUCCAAAGCAGAUCGAAAACCAAAUCAUCUCCCGAACAAGAUAUUAUGAUAUCUCUAACACCUGCGGAAGAAUUAUGGACUGCAUUUUCUUUUAUUAUCUACAGUUUUUAAUUUGAGAUUGAUUAUCUAGGGUUUUUUAUUUGGGAUUUUAGAGCAGUGUAGUUAAAUUAAAUGAAUGUUAAAAUUAUUGAUCGCAGGAAUAUGGAUUAUUCUUCGCACACAUCUUUCGAUCCUGAUUUCUUUGCAGUUAGUUCGGUUGAUGGUGGAAUUAAGGUAAGUAAAAAUUCAUCAAGGUUGAACGUCACACUUGGUGAGGACGUUUAUUUGGAUGGCGAGGACUUUCGUUUAGAUGUAUAUUUAGAUGUAUGAAUGGUUUUUUCACGAUUAGGAUACUAUUAAAGUCAGGUCAGGCAUAAUUUGGAUAUAUUGCAUAUAUUUUAUUUUCUGAUUUCAGGUGUUGUAAGCAAUCUUUUUAAUCUUUCAGGUAUAAUAUACAACUCCAUAUUUUCUUAGUUUAAUCUGAUCAGUUAGUUUAUACUCAAAGCUUACUGGAUUUGUUUUUAAAUAACUGGAAGUUGUUGUAUGGUUUUCUAAAGCCAAUAGAUAUAGACACUCUCGGUAGAGCAGACCCAUUAGCUAUGAUGAACAGCAGAAUAGGAAGAUUAGCAAUUUAUCUUGCUAGGUAGCACGUUGAUUGGCAUGUUGAUUCAGGUUUGUGGAAGAAAAAUGCUGAAGAGCUUUACAAAUGAGGCUGAUAAACUCCUCAGGUUAAUUGUAGAGCUUAUGCGAUACUUGCUAAAGCAGCUUUUUUAGAAUCUUGCUUGCUUUUAUUUUUCGGUCAAAAGUCUAACUAUAGUUUCAUCAUUUAGAAUCUGAAUUACCUAUUUAUAAGAAUCUUUGUUUGUCAAAUAUGUUGAUAUGAUAUAUUUAAAAUACAUAAAAUGCAGUACCAGUUAUGCUGACAUGAUCUUUUCCUGUUUCUCUAUAUCUUUUUCAUCUUAGUGUUUUUUGUUCAAAAAUUAAGAUAAAUUGAAUAAGAUUGAGGUGAUCUACAGCCAUGUUGGUUUCUAUCCGGGAAUUUAUGUUUUUUAGGGAAUUUUCCAGUGGGAAAUAUUGAUUUGAAUUUUGAGUGUAACAUACUUUUUUUGUAAAACAUGGAUAAUCACGGGAUCUUAAUUUUGAAGGCGAACAAUAGGUAUUGUAUUUUUGUUGCUAAAAUUAUUUUGUAUCAACAUUUUUCUUUGAUAAAAUCGUUGGAUCAUUUCCUUUCUUUGUUUUAUGGUAGUUUUGAAACUUGACGGUUCAUUUGCAUUUUUAUCUGACAUUCAAAAUUGUCUUUGUUUAGAUAAUUUUACAAUAGGUAUAUAUUGCAGUUUCUGCGUAAAACUAUUUUCGAUACCCGAAGGUUUUUGCUGCAUUUGCAAGGACUCACACCGCAAAAUCUCAGGACUCACACCGCAGAACCUAAGUAAAGGUGCAGGUGGUGGUCAUGCUCGAGGUUUCACAUUUCAUAGAAAAGUGUAUUCGUACCUGACGGUGGAUAAAGAAGUAACAUAGUAGUGAUAAUACGUCUGUAACCUUAAACGGGAAAUACUUGAGGUGGUCAUGCUGAGUAGGAGUAGGCUCCCCCAUCUUAAUGAGGUGUAAGUUUUGCAUCCUAUACCUCGAGAAGAUUGGCAGGUUAUGAGUGAUCCAGCAAGAGGCUUAUGAAGGGAAUGGGGAGUAUUGUCUAUAUUGGAUCAUGAAACUUUGGUCGGGUUUCUUUGCCAGAUUGGAUCAUGAAACUUUGGUCGGGUUUAGUGUGUUGCUGGAUCGAUCAGAGGGACCUAGAUGGUCGAAAAAUCACUUUUUUAUAUUGAGCGAGGCAGCGAGCUAUGCAAUAUAUCAAGAACGCUGAAUCAGUUUGUUCCUUAAGGUCCACUGCUAGAAGUAGGAGUUAACUGACAUAAAGACAUCAAAUAGGAGGAUGAGGUUUCGGAAUAGCCAUGUGGACACUUUUAGACUACCAUGGAUUAGAUUAUCAGAAUGUGGAAAUACAUCCGCAGCAUCAGGCAUACUCUAUGAAUUGUUGGAAGGUUGGGCAUAAAAAGAAGCAUCAUUUGGGUUGAGAUUUUCAGUAUCCUCAAAACUAAGCUGAAGUUUUCGGAUGCAUUAGAAGGUCAGCUGAAGUUUUCGGAUGCAUUAGAAGGUCAGCUGAAGUUUUCGGAUGCAUUAGAAGCUACUCUGGAAACCCUGAUCUUGACGAAGAAGGAAGUAAAGGGCACCUCUAGAGCGAGCAUUAUUGUUGGUGUAUCAGUUGGACUGCUACUUUUUAUAGUGUCAACUGAGCAAAAAAAAAAUCUCUUGCACUUUCCUUGGUUUCUUACUCCGUGGGGAAAGGAAAAAGCACACCCAGGUGUACGACGCAAAGGGCAUCAAUAUAUUUGUAUCAAGGCCUGUUGAUGAUAGAGGACGUCAACAUACAUCCAUCCAUUUUCACAUAUAUAUGUGGCACUUUGGCAGUCAAUAUAUGUUUUGGGAUUCAAAAAUAAGGAUUCAAAAAUAAAAUUGUGAAAAUUUUGGUAAUUAUGUCCAUUGCUACAGACUAUAUCCACAAAAGUACUCCACGUACUCAGUUCGAUGUACUCAUGGCUCAGGUGACCAUCCAAGGAUCACAAUAAGCAAUUACUGCCUGACAAGUACACAUGAUAUCGGAUAAGCAGAUGAUUCUAUGACUUUGCUUCCCAGGUACACACAUGUUGAUGUGUUUUCUACAUUUGCUUUCUGGCAUUUCAUUAUUAUUUGCAGGCUUAUUAUCUGCAUGUUAAAUGAGCCCAUUGUGUGUAAUGUGGUGAUAUAUACCUGUGUAUAGAAGCAUUUGAGCAUGGACAUUAGAAAUUACUAUGAAAAGAGUAGAUACUAAAUGAGGAAUUGGGGAAGAAAUAGAUACCUUUAGCACAAGAUACCUUAUGAACAUGGUAUCCAUCUGACUUUGUAGAUGAAGGGAGCCCAAUUCGUUUUGUUUUCUUUUGUGGUAAUCUCUUCUCUUUUUUGCUUUUAUGUUUUCUGUUUUUUCUUUUUAGUCAAAGGCAAUGUAGAUGUUAAGAUGUUUGUAAAGAGAAGGAAAGAAAGUUUCCUGCUAAAGAAUCUAAUGUUGGUUUAUGCUUAAGUUUAGCGUAUUGUUGGUU